GGGGGCGUAAAGGUUUCGACGGGGGCUUGGAACUUAGAGUAGCGAGCCGUGUUUCUCUGGUCCACGUAAAAACUGGGGACUAAAUAUAAACGCAAACGAUAAUUACGCAUUAGCAGCUUAAUAAUAGCUGCUCGUUCUCCCUGGUCUUCCCGCAGACUAGGCUAGAACGUCAUAUAGGCGGGGAACUAUCUUUAGGGUGCCUUGACUAAAGAUGGACUAAUUAAGGCUGGCCAAGCUCAAAGCCUGCUACUAGGCGUUGAGUAAGGUGAGAUUCUAAUAUAGUAGCUACGCUCGUAGAAGCUUUAGGGAAAGAGCUUUCGGACAGGGGUUCGAUUCCCCUCGCCUCCACCA
rnacentral:tmRNA from 1 species